UGCAUAUAAUUAGAACUGAUUACAAGCUCAAAAAUGUAGUCGGUGUCAGAUUAUGCCACAUGGAACGCCACAUAUUUACUUGUCUUUGGUUUGUUGUAGACAAUCUAACGAUCCGAAGAUUUCUUAUGUGUCAACAAC
rnacentral:snoRNA from 1 species